AGCGAACGCUGGCAGCAGGCCUAACACAUGCAAGUCGAACGAAGUCUUCGGACUUAGUGGCGGACGGGUGAGUAACACGUGGGAACGUGCCUUUAGGUUCGGAAUAACUCAGGGAAACUUGUGCUAAUACCGAAUGUGCCCUUCGGGGGAAAGAUUUAUCGCCUUUAGAGCGGCCCGCGUCUGAUUAGCUAGUUGGUGAAGUAAAGGCUCACCAAGGCGACGAUCAGUAGCUGGUCUGAGAGGAUGAUCAGCCACAUUGGGACUGAGACACGGCCCAAACUCCUACGGGAGGCAGCAGUGGGGAAUCUUGCGCAAUGGGCGAAAGCCUGACGCAGCCAUGCCGCGUGAAUGAUGAAGGUCUUAGGAUUGUAAAAUUCUUUCACCGGGGACGAUAAUGACGGUACCCGGAGAAGAAGCCCCGGCUAACUUCGUGCCAGCCGCCGCCGUAACAC
rnacentral:rRNA from 1 species